ensembl:snRNA U6 U6 spliceosomal RNA
GUGCUUACUUCAGCAGUACAUACACUAAAGUUGGAACUAUACAGAGAAGAUUAGCAUAGCUCCUACCCAAAGUUGAUGGCAAAUUUAGAAGUGUCCCAUAUUUUU